rnacentral:rRNA from 1 species
AGAGUUUGAUCAUGGCUCAGAACGAACGCUGGCGGCGUGGAUAAGACAUGCAAGUCGAACGGGAACUUUUUUAAGCUUGCUUUUGAAAGUUCUAGUGGCGAACGGGUGAGUAACACGUGAGCAACCUGCCUGGAAGAGGGGGAUAGCCUGAGGAAACUCGGAUUAAUACCGCAUAUGGUCAUACAGGACAUCCUGCUAUGACUAAAGGCGCCUUCGGGUGUCACUUCCAGAUGGGCUCGCGGCCUAUCAGUUUGUUGGUGAGGUAACGGCUCACCAAGACGAUGACGGGUAGCUGGUCUGAGAGGAUGGUCGGCCACACUGGAACUGAGACACGGUCCAGACACCUACGGGUGGCAGCAGUCGAGAAUCAUUCACAAUGGGCGAAAGCCUGAUGGUGCGACGCCGCGUGGAGGAUGACGGCCCUAGGGUUGUAAACUCCUGUCAUCAGGGAGUAAAGCAUCGGGUAGUAACUGACUCGAUGCCUGAUAGUACCUGAAGAGGAAGAGACGGCUAACUCUGUGCCAGCAGCCGCGGUAAUACAGAGGUCUCAAGCGUUGUUCGGAAUCACUGGGCGUAAAGCGUACGUAGGCGGCAGGGUAAGUCAGAUGUGAAAUCUCCGGGCUCAACCUGGAAACUGCAUCCGAUACUGCCUUGCUAGAGUAGUGGAGGGGCGACUGGAAUUCACGGUGUAGCAGUGAAAUGCGUAGAUAUCGUGAGGAACACUAGUGGCGAAGGCGAGUCGCUGGACACUUUCUGACGCUGAGGUAC